GGCCUUGUAGCUCAGCUGGGAGAGCAGCAGACUGAAGUAUGUUCGAUUACAACUCGGUAUCUGAAGGUCCGGUGUUCAAUCCACCGCAAGGCCA